AGCAGCUCCCCAGCGUCCCUCGGGGAGGAGGGCCCCCUGCAGCGGCCGCAGCGCAGGGCCAGGGGCAGCGCGAGCCGUGUCCUGGGGAGGCUCCAGGGCGGGUUGCGGCGGAAACGGGCUCCCGGAGAGAAGGCGAAACCAAGCGGAGGUCUCUCGUGCAUCACAGGGUCUGAAGGGGUGUCACCGCGGUCCGCACUCCGUGUGCUCGCUCAGCCGCUGUGCCGCGCCUGUCCUCUCAGGGGCCUCCCUGGCCUCUGUCUCUGUCUAGCAGGUCCACCAGGUUUGUUUUUUUAAACAACAACGUUAUUGAGAUAUAACGGACACUAUUUAGAGCAUACGACUUGAUACGUUUUCACCCGUUUCUGUCCAUGAAACCUUGACCACAGUCUAGACGGUGGACGUUCCCAUCACCCCCAGAGGGGGUCUCGUGCCCCCAGGCGGGCAGCCCCCCGUCGGCCUCGGUCACUGUAGCCCCACCGGCUCUUCCUGGGAUGCGGUACAGACUCCGUCACCCAGCGCGCCCACCUCAGUCACCUCGAGACUCCCCUGCGUCGUCUCGGGUGUCGACACAGAUGCCAUAGAAUUGUCCACAUAGAUGAUCGUGUCAUUUACAAAUCAGGAGCAUUUUACCUCUUUCCAGUCUGAACUGGCUUGAGCCCCCGGCAGGCUGUUGAGGAGCAGGGAGAGAACAAACCCCAGGUCUGGUUCUGACUUAAGCAGUGAGUCAUUCUUUAACAAUUAAGUGUGGUGUUAGCUGUGAUGUUUUCGUAGGUGCCUUUUGUCCGGUGGAGGACGUCCUUUUCUUUGACAGUUUGCUGAGAGUUCUUUUGUGACAUCAGGAAUGGGUGUUGGAUUCUGUCCUGUGCUUUUUCUGCUGCAUCUGUUGAGAUAAUCAUAUGUUUUUUUCUUUCUGUUCAUAUGUGGUAAGUUACACUGAUUGAUUUUCAAAUGUUAAACCAACUUUGCGUCUUUGGGAUAAACCCCACCCGAUCAUGAUGUAGUAUCCUUUUUUUAUAUUGUUGGAUUGGAUUAACCAAAAUUUAAGUUGCUCUGCGUCUGUGUUCAGGACCGAUACUGCUCUGCAGGUUCCUGUUCCUGUCAUUCUGGAUUUGGCACCAUGGACUGCGUUGUGUGUGGGAAAUUAAGAAGUGGAUUAUUGGGACUUCCCUCGUGGUCCAGUGGCUAAGACUCUGAGCUCCCAAUGCAGGGGGCCUGGGUUUGAGCUCUGGUUGGGGAACUAGAUCCCACCUGAUGCAGCUAAGAGUCUGCCUGCCACAGCUAAAGAUCCCAUGUGCUGCAACUAAGACCUGGCACAGCCAAAUAAAUAAAUA